GAUGAACGCUGGCGGCGUGCCUAAUACAUGCAAGUCGAGCGAACAGACGAGGAGCUUGCUCCUCUGACGUUAGCGGCGGACGGGUGAGUAACACGUGGAUAACCUACCUAUAAGACUGGGAUAACUUCGGGAAACCGGAGCUAAUACCGGAUAACAUGUUGAACCGCAUGGUUCAACAGUGAAAGACGGUCUUGCUGUCACUUAUAGAUGGAUCCGCGCCGCAUUAGCUAGUUGGUAAGGUAACGGCUUACCAAGGCAACGAUGCGUAGCCGACCUGAUGGGGGGUACGCCACCCCGGAAGCUGACCAGCGACCCGGCGCCUUAGAGACGGCGCAGGUGGGUACGUUUCCCAAUGGGGCGAAAGCUUGCGGAAGAAGCGCAGGCCGGAUGAAGAAGGUCUUCGGUCGGGAAAACUCUCUUCUAGUGAAGAACAAAUGUGUAAGUAACUAUGCACGUCUUGACGGUACCUAAUCAGAAAGCCACGGCUAACUACGUG
rnacentral:rRNA from 1 species